AACGUAGGAGACAAACGUUAUCCGGAGUUACUGGGCGUAAAGGGCGUGCAGGUGGUCUGUUAAGUCUGGCGUGAAAGCUCCUGGCUAAACCGGGAGAGGUCGUUGGAUACUGGCGGACUAGAGGACGGUAGAGGCGUGUGGAAUUCCGGGUGUAGCGGUGGAAUGCGUAGAGAUCCGGAAGAACACCGGUGGCGAAGGCGGCCUGCUGGGCAGUAGCUGACGCUGAUGCGCGACAGCGUGGGGAGCAAACAGG
rnacentral:rRNA from 1 species